rnacentral:rRNA from 1 species
AACGAACGCUGGCGGCAUGCCUAACACAUGCAAGUCGAACGAGACCUUCGGGUCUAGUGGCGCACGGGUGCGUAACGCGUGGGAACCUGCCCUUAGGUUCGGAAUAACUCCCCGAAAGGGGUGCUAAUACCGGAUAAUGUCUUCGGACCAAAGAUUUAUCGCCUUUGGAUGGGCCCGCGUUGGAUUAGCUAGUUGGUAGGGUAAAAGCCUACCAAGGCGACGAUCCAUAGCUGGUCUGAGAGGAUGAUCAGCCACACUGGGACUGAGACACGGCCCAGACGACUACGGGAGGCCGGAGUAGGGAGUAGUGCAAGAUGGGCGCAAGACGGAUACAGCAAGAACGCGUGAGGGAAGAAAGGCUUCGGGGCGUGAAACACUAAUGUUGGGGAAGAAAAACAGCAGGACAAUCCCCCGCGGUGCGGAAGGGACCAAAAGAAUAAGCACCGGCUAACGUCGUG